UUAAAAAUGGCGUCACUUCUUCGUGUCUGUGUAAACGAUUCUAGUUGCCGCUGGAAAAAAUUCGUAAUUCUCGCAUAAAACACACCUGCCGGCCGCCCAAAUCGAUCGAAAAGCGAACGUCCGACUCUGCGGCGCGACAAGCGAGUGAAAUUGUGGCUGUGCGAGCGCGAUAGACCGCUGAAAAAAGGAGUGCAAAAGUGCGAAUCGGGGAUACCCGGAUACUUCAGGAAAGCAGGCGAAAAGGGGCAAAGAGGAGGAUUUCUGCCACACACAGAGCAAGAGAGAGAGAGAGAUUCAGAGCGAGCGAGAGGUCGAUAACGAUAGCCUUGUUUAGUUAUCGCCCUCGAUAGCCGAGAAAACAAAAAAAAAAAAAAACAGCGGCGUCCUUUCAGUAUGACCCUGCUGCAGACCAACGGAUUUCUCACCUGCAGUGUGACCGCGUGAGAGAGAGACACCAACCGGAGAGAGCAGUUAUUGUGUGCGCAUGUGAUGCCAAAUAUCCAUAAAAUCCAAUAAAAAAGGAAAUCAGCACAGGCGAAUUACUAUGUGAAUGCAGCAAUCAGCAGUUAGCAGUUAGCCAGCAGCAGCAGCUCUUUCUCAGUUAACCAAAUUGAUGUGCCAUUCAGGAGCAGCAGCAGCGCA